AACCCGGUGUUUCUCAACACCACCAUCUAAAUCAACGGAGUACUGU
rfam:Gonium pectorale scaffold00051, whole genome shotgun sequence.